rnacentral:rRNA from 1 species
GACGAACGCUGGCGGCGUGCUUGACACAUGCAAGUCGAACGGAAAGGCCCUGCUUUUGUGGGGUGCUCGAGUGGCGAACGGGUGAGUAACACGUGAGGAACCUGCCCUUGACUGUGGGAUAACUCCAGGAAACUGGGGCUAAUACCGGAUAGGAGCUCCUGCUGCAUGGUGUGGGUUGGAAAGUUUCGGCGGUGGGGGAUGGACUCGCGGCUUAUCAGCUUGUUGGUGGGGUAGUGGAUUACCAAGUCUUUGACGGGUAGCCGGCCUGAGAGGGUGACCGGCCACAUUGGGACUGAGAUACGGCGCAGACUCCUACGGGAGGCAGCAGUGGGGAAUAUGGCGCAGUGGGCGGAAGCCUGAUGCAGCAACGCCGCGUGCGGGAUGACGGCCUUCGGGUUGUAAACCGCUUUCGCCUGUGACGAAGCGUGAGUGACGGUAAUGGGUAAAGAAGCCCCGGCUAACUACGUG